UACAGAGGUCUCAAGCGUUGUUCGGAUUCAUUGGGCGUAAAGGGUGCGUAGGCGGCGCGGUAAGUCGGGUGUGAAAUCUCGGAGCUUAACUCCGAAACUGCAUUCGAUACUGCCGUGCUUGAGGACUGGAGAGGAGACUGGUAAUUUACGGUGUAGCGGUGAAAUGCGUAGAUAUCGUAAGGAAGACCAGUGGCGAAGGCGGGUCUCUGGACAGUUCCUGACGCUGAGGCACGAAGGUCAGGGGAGCAAACGGG
rnacentral:rRNA from 1 species